GGGAUUGUGGCCCCUGAUUCAUCCUGACAGCUUCUGGAAGGCACAGGAUUUCCUUUCCUCCCACUUUGAAGAAGGUGAUGGAGAAGACAUUCAGAAUUCCAAGGAAUGGGGCACCUUUCGUUUCAUGAGGAAUAGAAAUUAAAAUGUGGGAAAUGUG